rnacentral:rRNA from 1 species
CCUACGGGAGGCAGCAGUAGGGAAUUUUCGUCAAUGGGCGCAAGCCUGAACGAGCAAUGCCGCGUGAACGAGGAAGGUCUUCGGAUCGUAAAGUUCUGUUGAAGGGGAAAAAGAGCGGAGAGAGGAAAUGCUUUCUGAUUGAUAUUACCCUUCGAGGAAGUCACGGCUAACUACGUGCCAGCAGCCGCGGUAAUACGUAGGUGGCGAGCGUUAUCCGGAAUGAUGGGGCGUAAAGGGUGCGUAGGCGGCCUGCUAAGUCUGGAGUGAAAGGUACCGGCUCAACCGGUACAGGCUCUGGAAACUGGCGGGCUAGAGAGCAGGAGAGGGCGGUGGAACUCCAUGUGUAGCGGUAAAAUGCGUAGAUAUAUGGAAGAACAUCAGUGGCGAAGGCGGCCGCCUGGCCUGUUAACUGACGCUGAGGCACGAAAGCGUGGGGAGCAAAUAGGAUUAGAUACCCUGGUAGUC